UUUGAGGGUCCCAUCACAUUUUCUUCUUCUUAAAUACACUAACCCAACAGAUAUCCAUUACUUCUGUUUACACUUCUGCAAGAGGAAAAGGGAAAUGGAGAUAGAGUGCAGGGCAUGAAUAAAUGGAUUACUCAAUGAGACCACCUUCUAGACCAGUCUCCCCGCAUGAGCAACCAUAUGGUUUAAUGUAGAACGAGGAUUGACUAGCCGCAUGAAUACGCAACAAGACACAUUUACGAUAAACAUUCCACUACACUAUACACACAUGCAAUCACACACGUCUCAUCAUUACACAUUUCACUCACAUCCGUUGUUGUCCCUCCAAAGAGGCAAACCGCCCGAACACACAAUAGAAGAUGUUGCCACCCCAAGGCUGAUGCGCGUAAACACAGAUCAUAUCCCUACCAAACCGGAAGUCCACACACCCAAAGCCAGCGCCCCACACAUCAAUUUUUCACACUCUUCCUCUUCACUGUUCAACACUUCACGACCACUCAUAUCCAACAUAUAGUCCCAUCCUCUCAGUCAUUCACCCAAUCCGUUUUAUGCAUCUAAUAUCCUAUUCAUUCAAUUCCCUCUAGUAAUCUAACUUUCAAACAAGUAUAAACAAUCAUAAAGCAAUAACACAAACAAUAUCUCACAUCAACACAAUCAGUAAAGUAUCUCCUUUAACAAUAUGAGCAUUUUUAUGCGGUAUGAAUAUGCAUCUAGUAACCUAGAACCUAGCAA
rnacentral:lncRNA from 1 species